GCACCCGUAGCUCAGCUGGAUAGAGCAUCAGACUACGAAUCUGGAGGUCAGGAGUUCAAAUCUCUUCGGGUGCGCCA
rnacentral:tRNA from 1 species